UGGCGGGACGGGGUGGAGUAAUGUCUGGGAAACUGCCUGAUGGGAGGGGGUAACUACUGGAAACGGUAGCUAAUACCGCAUAACGUCGCAAGACCAAAGAGGGGGACCUUAGGGCCUCUUGCCAUCGGAUGUGCCCAGAUGGGAUUAGCUAGUAGGUGGGGGAAGGGCUCACCUAGGCGACGAUCCCUAGCUGGUCUGAGAGGAUGACCAGCCACACUGGAACUGAGACACGGUCCAG
rnacentral:rRNA from 1 species